rnacentral:rRNA from 1 species
UGAACGCUGGCGGCGUGCCUAAUACAUGCAAGUCGAGCGAACAGACGAGGAGCUUGCUCCUCUGACGUUAGCGGCGGACGGGUGAGUAACACGUGGAUAACCUACCUAUAAGACUGGGAUAACUUCGUGAAACCGGAGCUAAUACCGGAUAAUAUAUUGAACCGCAUGGUUCAAUAGUGAAAGACGGUUUUGCUGUCACUUAUAGAUGGAUCCGCGCCGCAUUAGCUAGUUGGUAAGGUAACGGCUUACCAAGGCGACGAUGCGUAGCCGACCUGAGAGGGUGAUCGGCCACACUGGAACUGAGACACGGUCCAGACUCCUACGGGAGGCAGCAGUAGGGAAUCUUCCGCAAUGGGCGAAAGCCUGACGGAGCAACGCCGCGUGAGUGAUGAAGGUCUUCGGAUCGUAAAACUCUGUUAUUAGGGAAGAACAAAUGUGUAAGUAACUAUGCACGUCUUGACGGUACCUAAUCAGAAAGCCGCGGCUAACUACGUG